rnacentral:rRNA from 1 species
GACGAACGCUGGCGGCGUGCUUAACACAUGCAAGUCGAACGGAAAGGCCCUGCUUUUGUGGGGUGCUCGAGUGGCGAACGGGUGAGUAACACGUGAGUAACCUGCCCUUGACUUUGGGAUAACUUCAGGAAACUGGGGCUAAUACCGGAUAGGAGCUCCUGCUGCAUGGUGGGGGUUGGAAAGUUUCGGCGGUUGGGGAUGGACUCGCGGCUUAUCAGCUUGUUGGUGGGGUAGUGGCUUACCAAGGCUUUGACGGGUAGCCGGCCUGAGAGGGUGACCGGCCACCUUGGGACUGAGAUACGGGCCAGACUCCUACGGGAGGCAGCAGUGGGGAAUAUGGCACAAUGGGCGGAAGCCUGAUGCAGCAACGCCGCGUGCGGGAUGACGGCCUUCUUGUUGUAAACCGCUUUCGCCUGUGACGAAGCGUGAGUGACGGUAAUGGGUAAAGAAGCACCGGCUAACUACGUG